rnacentral:rRNA from 1 species
CACCCUGCACACAUCUGAUCUCUUCUGAUCUCAGAAGCUAAGAAGGGUCG